AGUUUUGGAGGAUGUAGAUACCUCCAUUAGGCACUCGGUCAAACGCUUCCUGCACCUUCCACACACUGGCAUGAAUAGCAUGUUUCUGACCAUGCCAGUGAAGGACGGCGGGCUAGGCCUGCGCCCGCUCCGCACCCAACACAUUGCACGCGUCGCGGUCGGCACCAACAGCAUGAUUAACAGCGCCGACCCGACCUCACAAACCAUUGCCAGCAUGCCGCAACACCAAAAGUCCCUGCACGCAGCACUCAAGCACUUCUCCGUCCCGACGGCCUCCAAGGACACGUUGAAGAAAGGGAAGCGACAACUGCUUCGCGCUGAAAUCGCCGAACUAACGGAGACGUACCAAGGGAGCUGUUUGCCGUCGUUCAGGAAGCGGUCUGUGGGCAAUUCCUGGCUAAGUGGACUUAACGGAAUGCGAAGCCGGGACUUCAUCACUGGGCUAAAACUCCGUUUUGGGGUGAUUGAAACUCGCUCGCAGAAGUGGAGGGGGAGAACUCCCCAGAACCCAGUGGUGUUGCUGUGUAGACAUUGUGGGCUCUCGACCGGUCAACGGGAGACUGCCGCGCAUAUCUCGCAGAAAUGCCCUGUGACCCAACGCCUGUUCAUCCAACGGCACAACAGGAUAGUACAUCUUGUUGGGGAGCAUGCCCGGAGAGAAGGGUUCACAGUGCAUGUAGAGCAUGCCCUAAAGUCAGCAGGCCAGGUCUACAAGCCUGACCUAAUCCUGAUCAAAGGGAACUCGGCCCAUAUCCUAGGUGUAGCAGUACCAUGGGAGAAGGGCACCGACAUGCAUGAGCAUUACGAAAGGAAAACCACCAAAUACAGUAGAAUCACGGAAGACGUCAAAGCCCACUUUGGCGUCGAUAGUUGCACAGUCGGAGCAAUUGUAGUGGGCGCACGGUCCAGCUGGUGUGCCAGCAACCGCCUUGCACUGAAAGCAUGUAGUAUGCACUUUACCAAGAAGUUCAAGCGACUGCUUUGCAGAGUGGCCCUAGAGGGCACCUGCAGGGUUUUCCAGGCCUUCUUCACCGGCACUGCAUGACCCCACACAAAAAAUUAAAAUCAAAAAAAUUGAUAAAAUCUAAAAAAUCAAAAAGUUGCCUUGCAUGAUAGCUUGCAUGCAGCCUUUGCCCUACCCCGCCUAUAGUCAGGUAGGCUAGCACCGCAGCCCCCCGGGCAGAAAACAACAGAGGCCGUCCUGGCAUCAAGGAAUGCCGUGCUUGCAAGGGUGCCAUCGAAACAUUGUCACCCAUCUGCCAGAAAUGUCUGAAUAGCCAUGGCCUGGUAAUCGAACGUUACAACGCCAUCGUCGCUUUCCUCGAGCAAGUGGCGCUAAGGGACGGUUUUUUGUCAUAAAAGAGUUCCAGGUAUCAUCCCCCAUCGGCGCUCUUAAACCAGACUUCUCAUAAAAGACAAUGCGGCAUUCAUUGUGGACGUAGGCAUUGCAUGGGAAGGAAGGCGUCCACUGAAGCUGGUCAACAAAGUGAAGAUGGAUAAAUACAAAGUAGCCAUCCCGGCUAUUUUGGAACUCUUCCACGUUGGCUGAGCUGAAAGUUAUGGUGUUAUCGUGGGAAGCCGUGGAUGUUGGCUAAAGAGCAAUGACUAAACGCUGGCAGCAAUAGGACUCAAGGUAACCCGCAGGAGGAAGGAACAUUUGAGCUGACUGUGAUUCGAACAUUCAAUGGGAAUGUACACUACGUUUAUGAAAAACUGAUUGUAUAUCUUGACCCUUCUCGGUUACUGUCUUCAUAAUUUGUUGUUUGUUGAAAUCUUACUUACUUAAUUUCUUAAAUUACGAUCUUACUUCUUGUUACGAUUUUACCUUUUAUUAUUACGAUCUUACUUUUUGUUAUUACUUGCAAUUCCUGGCGUUGUGGUUUACCUUGUUUGUUUGUUUGUUAUUGUUCUUGUUUGGCCUAGGAUAUCGAUAAUCACACGCACCGCGGAACUGGACCGUAUAAGCCAGAAAUAUUAAAGUAACAAUAGCCAAAUGCCUAGUCAUUUAUUUAGUGACGCGUAUGAAUGGAUCAACAAGAUUCCUUCUGUCCCUAUCUACUAUCUAGCGAAACCACAGCCAAGGGAACGGGCUUGGCAAAAUCAGCGGGGAAAGAAGACCCUGUUGAGCUUGACUCUAGUCUGACUCUGUGAAGAGACAUGAAAGGUGUAGCAUAGGUGGGAGGCUGCAGUAGGGCGCUGUUUGGUGUCUUUGUGGUCGCCAAUGAAAUACCACUACUUUGAUCGUUUCUUUACUUAUUCGGUAAAGCGAAAAAAUUGUGGCCAAUUUGGCGGUCUGUCCGCUGUUGGUCAUUGUUUUAAUGUUGGAUUGAAGCUUUGUUUAUAGCCGUCGCUUUGCGUCGCCGUUUGAUGCAUUGGCUGGGUGCGUUUUUGCGCGCGCGCGGUAAUGUUGUCAGCGGAUGAUCGGCGAUUGGUUUGAAGUGAUUCGCUCCGGAAACAGUGUCAGACGGGGAGUUUGACUGGGGCGGUACAUCUGUUAAACGAUAACGCAGGUGUCCUAAGGUAAGCUCAGCGAGGACAGAAACCUCGCCUAGAGUAAACGGGCACAAGCUUACUUGAUUUUGAUUUCCAGUACGAAUAAAAACCGCGAAAGCGUGGCCUAUCGAUCCUUUUGAUUGUGUAGAUUUCAUGCAAGAGGUGUCAGAAAAGUUACCACAGGGAUAACUGGCUUGUGGCAGCCAAGCGUCCAUAGCGACGUUGCUUUUUGAUCCUUCGAUGUCGGCUCUUCCUAUCAUUGCGAAGCAGAAUUCGCCAAGCGUUGGAUUGUUCACCCACCAAUAGGGAACGUGAGCUGGGUUUAGACCGUCGUGAGACAGGUUAGUUUUACCCUACUGAUGACAAGUCGUUGCGAUAGUAAUCCUGCUCAGUACGAGAGGAACCGCGGGAUCAGACAUUUGGUUCAUGCGCUCGGCUGAAAGGCCGGUGGCGCGAAGCUAGCAUCUGCAAGAUUAUGACUGAACGCCUCUAAGUCAGAAUCUUUUCUAGUCAUUGGCAACGAUAAGUUGCGUCCGGACUCGAUGCGAGGAAACGAUUAGGCUUUGCUGUGUUUUGCGCAGCGAAGCCGUCAUCAUACCACGGUAGCAGGCAGUUGGGAUGGUUACGAAAAAGCAAUUUUUUGAAGUCAGUUGAAUUCAAUCAAACUGCUAACAAUCCCACUGCGAAUGACUACACUCGAAUCU
rnacentral:rRNA from 1 species